rnacentral:lncRNA from 1 species
UGUCCAUCAGGAGAGGUGACAACCACAUUGUGAGAACUCCAUCCCACAACAAACAGUUCCAUCUUGUUUACAAUAUACCGAAAGAACAGCAGGCACUUAUAUGACAGAAAGUACAGUAUGUUCCUCCAUGGUAUCACAACAAGUUACUGGUGUUUUUAGCAUGUUCAAAGUUGACCACGCUCUCACAUCUUGAAGACCUCACCAUGACCGUGAUUCAUUUACUGGAUCUAACAUGUACUACGAUUAUCAAGUUUGUAAUUGUUACAGAUCGCAGGCGAUCGUGGCCUAAGAACGUGAUGGACGUAGGAUGUCGUGAUAACGUCGCUAGAUCGUAGCGCAGUCUCUCCGAUAGAAUCACGCUCUCGCUACGAUGUACAGCGACCUUUCGAUCUUACUACGAUCUACGUGCGCUCCACUACGCUUUAUACGACCUGAUUUCCCACGAUUGCACACGAUUGUUUUGAACAUGCCACCUCACACGGACCUGAUACGACCUAACUGCGAUCUACACGACGCACUACGAUCAGCAAAAUUGUUUUUUUUUCACAGAUCGUAGUGGAUCGUGCCUAGUGGAUGGGUAUAUUCGUUCCCACUAGGCAGAUUCCAACACUACGAUCUGUGAAAAAAAAUGCUAUACACCCCAGUACCACUAGGCACGAUCGCACUACGAUCUGUAAAAAUGGCAAAUUUUGAUGAUCGUGGUACGAUCGUGUAGGUCGCAGUAAGGUCGUAUCACGGUCGUGGUGAGGUCUUCAAAUCGUGAAGAGCGUGGCCAACUUUGAACAUGUUCAAAACAAUCGUGGUGCGGUCGUGGCGAAAUAGGUCGUAGUAGAAGCGUAGUGAGAGCGCACUAAGAUCGUAGUAAGAUCGCAAGGUCGCUGUACAUCGUAGCGAGAGCGUGCGAAAGCGUGAUUCUAUUCGGAGAGAUUGCCUACGAUCUCACGCGACGUUAUCGACCUCACUACCAUCACGUUCUCACCGCGACCCAACACGCUUCCCACUACGACUUUACCACGCUGUUACGACCAUGUACGAUUCUAGCACGCCCUUGCCGUCCUCAUCACGCUCUUCUCACGACCUUACUACGUUCACACUACGACCAUCAUUUUAUUGUCAUUUUCACAUAAAAUAUAAAAAAAACUCCCUAGAUUGUUUGUCUGAAUGUAAUUUAUCCAUUUGUCUAACGGCUCAACCAUGCUUCUCGUUUUUAUAUAGAUUAGACCGUUGGUUUUUCCCGUUUUAACAUUAGUUUUUGGGCCUUUAUAGCGUGCUGUGUGUGAGCCAGGCUAGUAUUGAAGCCUUACCUUGCCUAUAAUGGUUUACUUUUAUAGAUUUUUACGUUGAUGGAGAGUUGUCUCGUUGGCACUCAUACCACAUCUUCCUAUAUAUAUUGACACAUCUGUGUCAUCUCUGCUAUCGUUCACUAAAAUUCGUCAUUGAGCUAUGGACCAGCAAUGGUUGUAAUUUAGGUUUGAUUGGUCGUUCGACAUCUCGAGACAAGUAUUACUACUUAUGUGUAUAGUAUCAGUUUAAUUGAAGUCUGGAGCUGGCACACAGGCACUUGUUUCUAUCCAUACGAAGGUCGACUAUCCAUAUAAAUAGAAGCUUAUAUGGAUAGUCGACCUUCGUAUGGAUAGAAACAAGUGCCUGUGCAUAUGCACCUUCUCCGGCACCUUCCGGCAAUGUGAAGAAAAUGUCCUGAACAUUCAUUCCGGCUGUGUGCAAUAACAAUGCAUAUUUUUGAUCUACGUCUGUAACCCCUUUUCCUGCGGCAAAUAGUUGAAACGCCCGAAGCCAUCGUUUCCAACGUGCAGACAGUCCUGUCGAGUCAGAAAUGUCGAAAUUCUGUAUACCGCUAACAUCUGGUAGUAAAACUGAUCCCAUUUUGUUAUACAACCUUUGAUUAUCCUCGUCGCCAAUUUAAAUAUACUGUUUGUGGCUAGCACAUUCGGAUUGAACCUGAUACUGGCUUACAAACAAACACCAUUGAAGGUACAUCAUUUAUUACAUAACCGGAAACUCAGCAUCAUAUAUAUAUAUAUAUAACAGUACAAAGGGAGACAAGCAGUUCACAUACAUUGUUCCAUGUGGAGCAGGAUCUGCUUACCCUCGGAGCACCUGAGAUCACCCCUAGUUUUUGGUGGGUUCGUGUUGUUUAUCUUUAGUUUUCUAUGUUGUGUCGUGUGUACUAUUGUUUUUCUGUUUGUCUUUUUUAUUUUUAGCCAUGGCGUUGUCAGUUUGUUUUAGAUUUAUGAGUUUGACUGUCCUUGGGUAAUUUCCCUCUCUUUUCCAAACAUAACAGAGUUAUCUCUCUCUAUACUGAUAUAAAACAUACAUAGCAAACACUGCACGUAUCUCCCCACUCCAUGAUUCUUUAUGAAUAUGUUUGUUGAAGUUGUUUUGUUGUUGUGUCUUGGAAGUAUACCCCACAUCUCCUUGUAUGUAUGUGUCUGCAAUAUUUGAUCAAGUCAUUGGCUGCUUGUCUCAUUGACGUAUACUCCCCAUCUCCAUGUAUUCAUUAAUGUAAUAUUUUUGUUGAGGUUGUUUGUUGUUGUCUCAUGGAAGUAUACCCCACAUUGCCUUGUAUUUAUAUGUCUGCAAUAUUUGAUCAACUCGUUAGAUUUUUGUUUCAUUGUCGUAUACUCCCCAUCUCUUUGUAUCCAUUCUUAUUAUGUUUUUGUACGUUUUUUGUUAUUGUUGUGGACCCUUUUCGACUUUUAAUUUAACUCCAAGUGAGCAACCAGGGGGGGGGGGUCAUAACUUGUCAUGCUUAGUUUUCUUGCCAAUCUAUUAUCGAUAUUUUUUUAUCAAAUAGUUGUAUCAAAAGCAUUUAAAUAAGCCAUAUUAUUAUACAGUUUUUAAUAUGUAACUAUGCAAUAGAUCAAAAUAUAUUUCCCUCGGUAUGAAGAUCAACUCAUUGUUCUAUAUUGCCUGAAGCCAACGACUGAGGGCAAUAGAACAAUGAGCUGAUAUUCAUACCGAGGAAAAUAUAUUUUGAUCUAUUGCACUGUUACACAUUCAAUAACUGUUGUAUUACCUUAUACAUACUGAUCGAGUGAGUUCUAACAAAUUCUUAGAAAUAAAAUACAUAAAAGUAACAACAGUAUUAAUUAUAAUGUGUAAGGAGCAUACAUGUACAAGCAACACUUUAGAAAUUCAAUAAAACGGACAUAAGUAAUGAGUAAUCCGGCUACCGGUAUACACAUUUAAUGGUAAUGAAUGUGUAAAGUAUUCACAUUAUGAAACACCAAAUUAUUGGGAACACAUUUCUUCCUUGGAAAACCUUUCGAAGUCAUCGAAUAAUAUGUGCUUUUAAUAACAGUACUCUCUGAGAACAUUCACCGACAUUUUGGUCACCGUUUUUUUGUAUUUCUAGCGUAUUUCUAGCGUCCCUAUUCUCAAGGAAACCAUCAUCAACAUUUGCAAACCGCUCCAUCGCAGAAGUCAUUUGUAGACGAUCAAAACAAUAAACCUAAGAACGUUAACUUGAGACCCAAUUUGAUUGCACAACAUGAAUACCCUUCAACUAAUCAGAUUUCAGAAUAAGAGGUCAUAACAGGUAAAUGCAAUAGAUUGCACACAGGUGCCAUAUAACGAUAAUUUCCAGUGCAAUAGACCAUGGAACAAAAAAUGGCAGAAAAAUAGCAAAUAAUAUAGAAAUAUUAAUUAAACAGUAAAACACUCUUUAUCAUGUUAUAAACAUCAAUAUUUAAGGUAAAAUAUAUUGUUAUAAGCAUAUGCAAAGAAUGUAAAACGUGAACAAGUCUAAUAAAACCAAUUGACCUAUUUGAAAUAUAUUGGUUAUCUCAUGUAAGUCUGUGACGUCACUGUAACCAUUAAACAUUACAACUUAUCAUCUAACUUCGUACAAGAACGCGACAUUGGCUGCAUUUGCCACUAACAAUUUAUUUGUAGAUGUGUCAUAAUGCAGAACGUGUGGUCUUUUCAGUCCAUCAUCACGUGAUAAAAGUUGUCUAAAUCGUUGUCCAUCGGGAGAGAUGACGACCACAUUCUGAGUAUCAUAUCCUACUACAAACACGCAACCAUCAUUGUCUAUAGAAAUACCGAGCGGAGCGCCCAAAACGCUUGUAUCUCUGAAAGUCCACAUUAUAUUGCCAUGGUAAUCACAGCAGGUUACACUGUCAUUGCCAAAGUUAGUGUAGAACAGUUUAUCACCGAAUGUUGUAACGUAUGCAUAAUAAGGAAGUUUGUUAUUGUUGACAUUGGUAAUGGAAUCAUCAUUCAGACUUAUCAUAUUUAAUCCUUUCUCCCUGGCACAAUAAAUCAAAUGUCCAUCUUUGUAUACUACUCCAUGAUUAUAUGCAUUUACUGUAAAUGAUUUCUUCAGUUUUUGCUUGUUUAGAUCGAUUAUA